rnacentral:rRNA from 1 species
GGGUUGUGAGGUUAAGCGACUAAGCGUACACGGUGGAUGCCCUGGCAGUCAGAGGCGAUGAAGGACGUGCUAAUCUGCGAAAAGCGUCGGUAAGGUGAUAUGAACCGUUAUAACCGGCGAUGUCCGAAUGGGGAAACCCAGUGUGAUUCGUCACACUAUCGUUAACUGAAUACAUAGGUUAACGAGGCGAACCGGGGGAACUGAAACAUCUAAGUACCCCGAGGAAAAGAAAUCAACCGAGAUUCCCCAGUAGCGGCGAGCGAACGGGGAGCAGCCCAGAGUCUGAAUCAGCUUGUGUGUUAGUGGAACGGUCUGGAAAGUCCGACGGUACAGGGUGAUAGUCCCGUACACCAAAAUGCACAGGUUGUGAACUCGAAGAGUAGGGCGGGACACGUGGUAUCCUGUCUGAAUAUGGGGGGACCAUCCUCCAAGGCUAAAUACUCCUGACUGACCGAUAGUGAACCAGUACCGUGAGGGAAAGGCGAAAAGAACCCCGGCGAGGGGAGUGAAAAAGAACCUGAAACCGUGUACGUACAAGCAGUGGGAGCACCUUCGGGUGUGACUGCGUACCUUUUGUAUAAUGGGUCAGCGACUUAUAUUCUGUAGCAAGGUUAACCGUAUAGGGGAGCCGCAGGGAAACCGAGUCUUAACUGGGCGUUAAGUUGCAGGGUAUAGACCCGAAACCCGGUGAUCUAGCCAUGGGCAGGUUGAAGGUUGGGUAACACUAACUGGAGGACCGAACCGACUAAUGUUGAAAAAUUAGCGGAUGACUUGUGGCUGGGGUGAAAGGCCAAUCAAACCGGGAGAUAGCUGGUUCUCCCCGAAAGCUAUUUAGGUAGCGCCUCGUGAAUUCAUCUUCGGGGUAGAGCACUGUUUCGGCUAGGGGGUCAUCCCGACUUACCAACCCGAUGCAAACUACGAAUACCGAAGAAUGUUAUCACGGGAGACACACGGCGGGUGCUAACGUCCGUCGUGAAGAGGGAAACAACCCAGACCGCCAGCUAAGGUCCCAAAGUCAUGGUUAAGUGGGAAACGAUGUGGGAAGGCACAGACAGCCAGGAUGUUGGCUUAGAAGCAGCCAUCAUUUAAAGAAAGCGUAAUAGCUCACUGGUCGAGUCGGCCUGCGCGGAAGAUGUAACGGGGCUAAACCAUGCACCGAAGCUGCGGCAGCGACACUAUGUGUUGUUGGGUAGGGGAGCGUUCUGUAAGCCUGCGAAGGUGUGCUGUGAGGCAUGCUGGAGGUAUCAGAAGUGCGAAUGCUGACAUAAGUAACGAUAAAGCGGGUGAAAAGCCCGCUCGCCGGAAGACCAAGGGUUCCUGUCCAACGUUAAUCGGGGCAGGGUGAGUCGACCCCUAAGGCGAGGCCGAAAGGCGUAGUCGAUGGGAAACAGGUUAAUAUUCCUGUACUUGGUGUUACUGCGAAGGGGGGACGGAGAAGGCUAUGUUAGCCGGGCGACGGUUGUCCCGGUUUAAGCAUGUAGGCUGGUUGUCCAGGCAAAUCCGGAUAAUCAAGGCUGAGGUGUGAUGACGAGGCACUACGGUGCUGAAGUAACAAAUGCCCUGCUUCCAGGAAAAGCCUCUAAGCAUCAGGUAACAUCAAAUCGUACCCCAAACCGACACAGGUGGUCAGGUAGAGAAUACCAAGGCGCUUGAGAGAACUCGGGUGAAGGAACUAGGCAAAAUGGUGCCGUAACUUCGGGAGAAGGCACGCUGGUGUGUAGGUGAAGUCCCUGCGGAUGGAGCUGAGACCAGUCGAAGAUACCAGCUGGCUGCAACUGUUUAUUAAAAACACAGCACUGUGCAAACACGAAAGUGGACGUAUACGGUGUGACGCCUGCCCGGUGCCGGAAGGUUAAUUGAUGGGGUUAUCCGUAAGGAGAAGCUCUUGAUCGAAGCCCCGGUAAACGGCGGCCGUAACUAUAACGGUCCUAAGGUAGCGAAAUUCCUUGUCGGGUAAGUUCCGACCUGCACGAAUGGCGUAAUGAUGGCCAGGCUGUCUCCACCCGAGACUCAGUGAAAUUGAACUCGCUGUGAAGAUGCAGUGUACCCGCGGCAAGACGGAAAGACCCCGUGAACCUUUACUAUAGCUUGACACUGAACAUUGAGCCUUGAUGUGUAGGAUAGGUGGGAGGCUUUGAAGCGUGGACGCCAGUCUGCGUGGAGCCAACCUUGAAAUACCACCCUUUAAUGUUUGAUGUUCUAACGUUGGCCCCUUACCGGGGUUGCGGACAGUGUCUGGUGGGUAGUUUGACUGGGGCGGUCUCCUCCCAAAGCGUAACGGAGGAGCACGAAGGUUAGCUAAUCCUGGUCGGACAUCAGGAGGUUAGUGCAAUGGCAUAAGCUAGCUUGACUGCGAGCGUGACGGCGCGAGCAGGUGCGAAAGCAGGUCAUAGUGAUCCGGUGGUUCUGAAUGGAAGGGCCAUCGCUCAACGGAUAAAAGGUACUCCGGGGAUAACAGGCUGAUACCGCCCAAGAGUUCAUAUCGACGGCGGUGUUUGGCACCUCGAUGUCGGCUCAUCACAUCCUGGGGCUGAAGUAGGUCCCAAGGGUAUGGCUGUUCGCCAUUUAAAGUGGUACGCGAGCUGGGUUUAGAACGUCGUGAGACAGUUCGGUCCCUAUCUGCCGUGGGCGCUGGAGAAUUGAGGGGGGCUGCUCCUAGUACGAGAGGACCGGAGUGGACGCAUCACUGGUGUUCGGGUUGUCAUGCCAAUGGCACUGCCCGGUAGCUAAAUGCGGAAGAGAUAAGUGCUGAAAGCAUCUAAGCACGAAACUUGCCCCGAGAUGAGUUCUCCCUGAGACUUUAAGUCUCCUGAAGGAACGUUAAAGACGAUGACGUUGAUAGGCCGGGUGUGUAAGCGCAGCGAUGCGUUGAGCUAACCGGUACUAAUGAACCGUGAGGCUUAACCUUACAACGCCGAAG